UAUUGGACAAUGGGCGCAAGCCUGAUCCAGCCAUGCCGCGUGGAUGAUGAAGGCCUUAGGGUUGUAAAGUCCUUUUAACGGGGAAGAUAAUGACGGUACCCGUAGAAUAAGCCCCGGCUAACUUCGUGCCAGCAGCCGCGGUAAUACGAAGGGGGCUAGCGUUGCUCGGAAUUACUGGGCGUAAAGCGCACGUAGGCGGGUUCUUAAGUCGGUGGUGAAAUCCUGGAGCUCAACUCCAGAACUGCCUUCGAUACUGGGAAUCUUGAGUCCGGGAGAGGUGAGUGGAACUGCGAGUGUAGAGGUGAAAUUCGUAGAUAUUCGCAAGAACACCAGUGGCGAAGGCGGCUCACUGGCCCGGUACUGACGCUGAGUGCGAAA
rnacentral:rRNA from 1 species